CCGGUCUACCUGCUACUCCAGCCUCACUACCCAAACCAGCAAGUCCUCUUGACUGCCAAGGGGAGAUGUUCUUCAAACAGCAGGAAAGAAAAGGGACCCUCACCUUCUCCUAAAAUGAAGCUCAUCCUAACAGAAGUGCCCUCUCCCACUGGGCUGCAGGUGGUCCUCUAAUCACUAGCACCUGUCUGCCCUCAAGUCUUCAGGGAAAGCCUGGCCCCAGAUGAAGAAACCGAGACUAUAACAGAAGCUUCAGGAAAUCUAUCCGUAACAGGCCUCUCCUCUUGCCUGAUUUGGGCUAGAGGCUCUGGGCAUGUGUGCUAAGCAGGGCACUGUCCAGGUGACCAGCCCCAUCCUCUCAAAAGCCUCUUCCUCCUCCGAAGUCAGCUCUUCCUCAACCCCUAGAGGACUUCUCCAACCCAGCAGAGUGGACCAGUUUUCUGGAUGAACCCAGUGGGCGGUGACACACAGACACUGGCCAGAAGCAGAGGCUAUCCCCUCCCUGGAACUCCACCUUGCCGGCCCUCUCUCUCCUCUACAGCACUCUGAGAUCAGAACCAGCAGGCCUGUGGCCCCCGUGCCCUUCUAGAACGGAUUUCCAAGGGCAGCCCCUGAGCUCAGCCUCACCUUAGACCCCGGGACUGUGGCUUCCCCCGCUGCCCGGGAAAUUCUUUCCCGGAGUCAGGUGUCAGUGCCCCUCUGGCUGUCCCCUCCACUGAGCCAAAAGGCCCAAAAUAGCCCCAGCUGUCAGCGGGCAUCCAUCUCGGAAGAGCUGGGGGCAGGGCCACCAGACCCCCAGGCAGCAGGAAGACUGGGGGUAACCUGGCCAGUGGUUGCACAGCACCAGCCCCAAUCCUCCCAAAUCCCAGAGGGCAAAUUGUCCCUUCCCAUUAUGAGGUCUCAACUCAGAGUCACAGAAGGACCCAGCUCUGGCAUUCAGCCCACUGUCAUCUCAGGGAGUGGCCCAGGUUGACCAAGCCCCUAAGAUCCCCAUGUUCCACAAACCACCAUGACCUUCAGUCCAUCUGACCUCCAGGAGCAAGAGUGGGCCCUCCAAGCAGCUCUGCCUCCUCACCUGUGUGUGCCUGGGCUGGGGGCAGCGUCCAGGGGUUGGGGCAGCGCCCAGGCAAGGGGCACAGAUGGUGAGUUAGGGGCUGCUGGGUCUUGCCUCCUUCCUGGGGCCCAGGCCGAUGUGGUUCCCACCCAGCAGCCCACACUCCAGCCGGUCCUCAGACUGGACAGGGACGAAAGGACGGGCAAACGCUGUCAGCUGAAGAAGGCUGGGCCCGCCCCUGCCCCACCCCCAUUUCUGGUCAGCCCAGCCCAGCCUAGCUCCAAAAUAGCCCCUGGUGUCACAGUCCAGGAUUCAGUUUCACCCUCAGCCCCAAGGAGGCAAAGGGCAGGUGGUCAGGGGCAGGAAGAUGCCUGUGUCCUCCCACUGUGAUGUGGGCAGCAAGGAGUUGGUCUAGCUUUCCUCAGACCAGCAUCCUGGAGUGUGGUAGGGGACAGAGCAUAGGGUCCCAGAAUGGUGUCAAGAGGGUCCAGUAAGCAGUCCUGAGGACAAAACUUGACACUGACCAUGAAGGGGAUCCAGGCCCACCACCCAGAACCAGGUCAACAUUUAAGGGGUCACAAGACUACACAGGGGUCUAGAAUCGGCCCAAGGGGACACAAAUCAACCCAAAGACCCAGGAGCAGUUUAUUUCCUUUUACUGUGUGCAAGUAAUUGGUGUUUUGCCAGCAUGUAUGUCUGUGUGAG